CCCGGACCUUGUACACACCGCCCGUCACACCAUGGGAGUUAGUUGUACCGGAAAACGCCUUACUAACCCGCAAGGGAAGGAAGCGUUUAUGGUAUGGCUGAUGACUGGGGUG
rnacentral:rRNA from 1 species